rnacentral:rRNA from 1 species
UACGAAGGGGGCUAGCGUUGUUCGGAAUCACUGGGCGUAAAGGGCGCGUAGGCGGCUUUGUAAGUCGGGGGUGAAAGCCCGAGGCUCAACCUCGGAACUGCCUUCGAUACCGCGGGUCUCGAGUCCGGGAGAGGUGAGUGGAAUUCCUAGUGUAGAGGUGAAAUUCGUAGAUAUUAGGAAGAACACCAGUGGCGAAGGCGGCUCACUGGCUCGGUACUGACGCUGAGGCGCGAAAGCGUGGGGAGCAAACAGG